rnacentral:rRNA from 1 species
UGGGGAAUUUUGCACAAUGGGGGAAACCCUGAUGCAGCGACGCCGCGUGAUUUAGAAGGCCUCCGGUUUGUAAAAAUCUUUCCUGUGGAAAGAAAAUGACAGUACCAUAGGAAUAAGGACCGGCUAAUUACGUGCCAGCACCGGGGGAAAUACGUAAGGUCCGAGCGUUGUCCGGAAUCAUUGGGCGUAAAGGGUACGUAGGCGGGUAAGCAAGUUAGAAGUGAAAUCCUAUAGCUCAACUAUAGUAAGCUUUUAAAACUGCUCAUCUUGAGGUAUGGAAGGGAAAGUGGAAUUCCUAGUGUAGCGGUGAAAUGCGCAGAUAUUAGGAGGAAUACCGGUGGCGAAGGCGACUUUCUGGCCAUAACCUGACGCUGAGGUACGAAAGCGUGGGUAGCAAACAGG